CUGAAACGACGAUCUUGGUCUAAGCUUACUACCAACCUCGGCUUUGAAUACAGAUAUGUACAUCACCAUUCCCACCAGCAUUAACAAACCUGAAAGAGAAACUGAUUUAAUAACUUGAAACGUUAUCUCUUGCGCCACCAAUUCUCUUGUGACAAUUUCACAAAGUAUGGAUCUCUCAUCGUAACGCGAUUAUUUUGAUGAUGACUUUGAUCUUUGAUUUCUUCGCGCAAGUUCAAAGAGUGGAUGGACAUGAAAUACUUAAUUCUAUUCAGUUGAGAAGAAAUGGCAGAGCGAGCAAAGUAUCCUGGUGCAAUAUAAGCUCGGUGUACUUUAUUACUCACCGGAAACUAUGAAGACCACGCCAGCGACAAAGACGCAAAGUCUGUGUCUCGGGUGAGUAACGUGAGCUGUGAAGUAACAAACUUCGGCUACCACCAGCAGCGAUGUUGCAGCGAAGAAGAACAUUGCCGACUUGAAGAAGAAGAAGAAGAAGAAAAAAAGAAGAGAAGAGAAAUUAGAAAGAGGAAAAGGCACGAGGAACUUAAUUAUCUCUUGGAUCGUCUAACUACGUGAAAAUAGAAAGAUUCAAAGGGGAGGAUUCGCGCAAGAGGAGAAGUUGGACGAAUUCAAAGUCAAAGGAGGAAGCGGCGCAUGAAUGUAAUUUAUAUGCCAUGGGCUGGUAAAUCAUCCCUCCUCUUCUCCUUCCCCACUCCAAGCAUAUUUUUCGCCCUCCACCGCUUCCACCCCCGAGAUUUAAUUGAAACGAAGGUGGUAAAGAAUGGUGACCCGUGACCUGUGAACGACCGAGUUCGAGCACGAUUCGGUGUUAUUAGACCACCGUUCGUCAUAAUCCUUCUCUUUUAUACGAUAUGAUUUAUAAGAGUGAGAUCGAUACUACACCUCUUUCUCUACCUUCUCCUACUCUUUGACGAAACGAGAUCUUCCAUCUUCUUGCAAAACGCGAGACAUGUGUUUCCGUUUUUAAUAUCGCAAUAUAAUUGGAAAGAUGUGAAAUCGAGGAACGUUUUUCUUUUUAUUUUUUGGAAACGAAAUAUUCGGAAUUUUUCAAAUCGAAUUUCGAUGAUAAUUUUUUAUGUGGAAAAAUUUGUUCGAAACACAAUUUUUUAUUAUCGUUUCAUUCGACUUUCGCGAAAGAUUUCCUCGUUAAAUGUUUAUUUUCAAAAUUCGAAAGCUUUUUCGCGUACUCUCUGUUUAAAUUUGAUUUUUAGAUUUGUUGGCGGAUUUUAAAACGAACGGAUCGAUAGGUUUUUAAACUAUUUUCCCUUGGGAGAUUAAGGGAAUCGAAUUUGUUGUUGUUAAAUUUUUGCGGCCAGUGUGUAAUUCCAUUAACAAUUUUCUAGAUUUCGAAGGUUUUAAAAAUAUCGAUUGGAUAAAGGUCUUUGAAAUAUAUAUAUAUUUUUUUUUUCACCGUCGGAUCAAAAUUGUUGAAGAAAUUUUGGAAAAUUUUUGGUAAAUUUUGCGUUGAAUGGUGGAUUGUUAUUACACGUAUUUCGUGGGAAUUGUCGUCGUAAAAAUGGAGGAGGAGGAAUGGCGGUAGAAUCGUAAAACGUCAAAAUCUGUGUCAACAUCCAUCCCGUGAAAUCGAAAUAAUAAAACAUGAAAUCAAACGAAUUUAAUCUGUCAAACGUUUCAUUAACUUAAAAAGAUAUUGAUUAAAACUUUGGGAAAUAGCAUCGGUUCAAGUUUGAGCGAAACGUAUAAUAGAUUGAAUAGAUGAAAAUUUAAUGGGACGGAAAAUAAAACUUGUUAAUAAUCGAUCACCAAACAUUUUCGAAAUUUCGUUAAAAACGGAAGAUUGAAAUUUUGUUUCCAACAGAGAUAUAUUAAAAAGAUUCUUUCGAAACUUGGUGAAAUUUACAAAAUAGUCGGACGAGAAAUUGUCAAGCAAAUAUUUAUUGCCGCUGUGAUUAAACUUUAAAUCACGUAAAAUAAACGUAGAAGAAAAAAAAAAAAGAAACGUUUUUUCUAUUUACGCAACUUCUUCACUUUUCAAUGAACAGAAUCAACACAAUUUCUACUCUACUAAAAACAAAAUACAAAUCAAACACAAUUUGCACUUGUACGCGUAAAUUACAUUUCUCUUCCUAAAAAAAAAAAAACACCUCUUAACUAACCAAAAAGCAAAGAUAAAAGGAAAAAGAAAAAAAAAAGAAGGAGCCGCGUUUUAAAUAAAAAAAAAAAAAAAAUUCUUUAAUCGCCUCGCAAACAUGAUGAAUAACCCCUCAACUCGGAAGUGGGAGCAAAUUACGGGUUAACCGCCAACUAAAUAAUUACGUUAUGCAAAUGAUCAAACAUUCCAUUCGUCGAAGCUGAGCUUGGAAACGGUGGGUGGUGAAAACGCGGCGGCCGUGUUUCCAUUUCCUAUUUACUUUCGAUGCUAGUUAUCAUUAAACCGAAACUAUUACGCGCUUCUCCAUCCCCUCCCUUCCCACACGCGUGGAAAAGAGUGGGGGCGAGAUAGAGGAGUGGGAGAAGUUACCCACCGAUUAGGGAUCGCGCUUAUCGACCGGAAAUUGUAAAUUCGAUUUCGGUGUUUAGAAACGUUAACGGUUAAAUGGCGGAAUCAAAGCGUUUCUCAAAAUCUUUGGGAACGGGGCGCAAAAGGGCUUUGAGGCCUUUUACGAGUUGCGCGAUGGGUUUGUGCGGAUGAUGGUGUUAGCAGGGGCAGAGGGAGGAGGAGGAGGAGGAGGAGGAGGAGGAGGAGGAGGGGAUUGGGGUAGGCGUGGAACAGUCAUUUCCGGUUCGUGCCGGAAGUUAGCCGUAUUGCCUCCCUUCGACAGUCGAGAAUCGAUAUUCCAGGUACGUUCCCGGCUUGCCCACUGACACAGCCACCAGUGAAUACGGUGGAAUAAUAACUCGCCUGCUGUUAAUGUACAAAUCCGUGGAUCGGGUAUAUUUUGGCUCUCAUUUAUGCGUGAACCGGAAUCGGCGCGGUUCUUUGCGUGAUUUCUUGGUUUCGAUUUGCCUCCGGUUAUUCCUGUAUUCGGUUGUAAUUAGCGCGACGAGACUGGAGAAUUUUAGAGAGAGAGA